UACGGAGGGAGCUAGCGUUGUUCGGAAUUACUGGGCGUAAAGCGCGCGUAGGCGGCUUUGUAAGUUAGAGGUGAAAGCCCGGGGCUCAACCCCGGAAUUGCCUUUAAGACUGCAUCGCUAGAAUCCGGGAGAGGUGAGUGGAAUUCCGAGUGUAGAGGUGAAAUUCGUAGAUAUUCGGAAGAACACCAGUGGCGAAGGCGGCUCACUGGACCGGUAUUGACGCUGAGGUGCGAAAGCGUGGGGAGCAAACCGG
rnacentral:rRNA from 1 species